rnacentral:rRNA from 1 species
CCAAUAGCGUAUAUUAAAGUUGUUGCAGUUAAAAAGCUCGUAGUUGAACCUUAGGCCCGUGCGGGUGGUCCGUCCUCUGGGCGAGCACUGCCUCGUCGCGGGUCUCACCUUCUGGCGAGCGUGGAUGCCAUUCACUUGGUGUCCGCGGGAACCAGGACCUUUACCUUGAAAAAAUUAGAGUGCUCAAAGCGGGCUCGUACGCUUGAAUACAUUAGCAUGGAAUAAUGAAAUAGGACGACGGUUCUAUUUUGUUGGUUUCCGGGACAGUCGUAAUGAUUAAUAGGGAUAGUUGGGGGCAUUCGUAUUCAAUUGUCAGAGGUGAAAUUCUUGGAUUUAUUGAAGACGAACUACUGCGAAAGCAUUUGCCAAGGAUGUUUUCAUUAAUCAAGAACGAAAGUUGGGGGAUCGAAGACGAUCAGAUACCGUCGUAGUCUCAACCAUAAACUAUGCCGACUGGGAAUCGGGCGAUGUUAUUUUUCGUGACUCGCUCGGCGCCCCGAG